rnacentral:lncRNA from 1 species
CUUUUUUUUUACUCGCCUCUUCUCUUUGUUUGACUCACAAGAAGCGCUGUCUUCCUAUAAGCAAAGGAAAAGAGGGUCAAAUACAAUUUUCAUGCUAGCACACAUUUUCGUCUUUCUACAUUGCCUGUUCAAAAGAAAAAAAAAUUAACCAUGCUAGUAUUUUCAACUCUGAUUAAAUUUCUUUUAGGAUUUUAUGUGAAUAAAUUCCCAAAUGUGAAGUAACAGUGCAUUAUAUUGUGCUGAAUCAUAUCACUAGGAGGCACCUUAAGAACUAGAGAAAGAAUAUAGAAAAUUUAGUGGGUAAGAAGUGGCUACUUGUCAGAUAUAGCCAAUUUUCCGUCUUAUCUCAUUAAGUUUUAUCUCUACCUAACAGAUCCCCAGACACUAAUAUUUAACAACAUAUUGGUAACUGCAAGUGUUAGUAUGUCAUCUUCUGGAUUCUUUUGCCAGUCCCAUAGUGCUGCGAAUCAUUCCCUAGCUUCCCCGCUUCCCUCUUUUGUUUUUGUACUGCAUCCCUCUACUGCUCUAGUCUCAUUUUGCACUUUGCCUGGUCUCCUGGUCUCACUGUUUCUAAAUAUUUCUUAUCCAUCUUGGUAUUCUUAAGACCCAGCACAGAAAAAUCAAUAAAUACCAUGGGAAGGAGCAAGCAGGGCUAGAAACACAAUGGAUGGUCACUAGAUAUUAAUCAUCUUUGAGUAAUUCUUCUAAUCAAACAUGCUCUGCAUCUAGUUAGGCAAGCCAGCUCCGAACACAGAGGCUCCAAGAACAGCAAAAGGUGCAUAUCCCUGGGGAGAGCCCAUGGCUGGAGUUAGUUCUCCAAGGUGUUCCUGCCCACACCUUUUCUAAUGAGUCCAGUUAGUUUAACUCAAUAGUGUGUGAACACGUAAGUAAGCUGCCAUUAUCCAACACCGCCUGGAAAAACAACCAUGCAUCUGGUCCCUCCCAUAUCCCUCAGCUGCAAACUUGAGAGUAGGAUAAACUUCUAGCUUUCUCUUACAGUGGCCAGGUGUUUGUGGGCAUAGGGUAAUACAGAUGGUCUCUUGAAAAAAAGUUUAGCGGCUAGUCUGAAGAAAAAUAACAAACCUUUGAUUGGGACUUAGCAUAUGAUACAACUGUUCUUCAUACUAUACAUACAAAAUCAAGUGUAGUAAGUAGCAUUACCAGUAUUUUAAAGAUGAGGCCAGGUGCGGUGGCUCACGCCUAUAAUCCCAGCACUUUGGGAGGCCAAGGCAGGCAGAUCACUUGAGGUCAGGAGUUCAAGACUAGCCUGGCCAACCCUAUCUCCGCUAAAAAUACAAAAAUUAGCUGGGCUUGUCCUGCACACUUGUAAUCCCAGCUACUCAGGAGGCUGAGGCAGGAGAAUCGCUUGAACCCAGGAGACAGAGGCUGCAGUGAGCCAAGACUGCGCCACUGCACUCCAGCUUGUGCUACAGAGCAAGACCCUGUCUCAAAAAAAAAAAAAAGAAAAGAAAAAAGAAAAACACUCAGGUGGGGCAGGAGUUUAACCUAAUCCAACUAGAUGGAACUAGAAAAAGAAUAUAGAAAAUUUAGGGGGAAGAGGUGGCUACUUGUCAGAUGUAGCCAAUUUCCUAGUGCUUUAAUAGAGUUAUGACUUCCAGAAACAGGCAGGGUAUGGUGGCUCACAUCUGUAAUCCCAGCACUUUAGGAGGCUGUGGUGGGCAGAUCACUUUGAGCUCAGGAGUUUGAGACCAACCUGGACAACAAUCCCCUCUCUCUACAAAAAAAUACAAAAAAAUUUAGCUGGGCAUGGUGGCUCAUGCCUGUAGUCCCAGCUACUCACGAGGCUGAGGCUGGAGGAUUGCUUGAGCCUGGGAACUGGAGGUUGCAGUGAGCCAAGAUCAUGACCCUGAAUGCCAGCCUGGGCACAGAGUGAGAUAGUGUCUCAAAAAAAUUAAUUAAAGACUUCCAAAGACAGCAAUACUUAUUUUUCUUUACCUUUUAUGUAUUAGAAGAGGAUUCCAAAUUUUCCAAAGUCCCUCCUAACACCAAAUAUGUAACUUGUUCUAUCAAACCAAGUCUUAAAAUACAACUUCAAAAGAAAAUAUGUGCUUGGCAUUCAACAGGCCUUCCAUAAGUGUUCACUGAAGGUUCCAAAUCUCCCAAUUCUAAAAGUUUCUGCAUUUGGAGAACAUUUUUCACCAAGAUUACUCGUUUCUUUAUCUUACAUCAUAGCCAAGAAAUAUAUUUCUCCCCAAUACAUGUUUUCUCCUAAACUCAAUAGAACUGUAUAUUAAGAUACUAAAUACAUGAAUCAUAAUGCUUAGGCACCAAAAGCAAUUCUAAAUGUAAAUGCAGUCUAUUACUACAACAAAAUUAGACAAAAAUCCUUGUGGGGAAAAUGUAUGUAUUUUUUUGCCCUGAAAGAACAGGUUUGUCGAACAGAUUAAAAUUCUACAUAUAAAACUGUUGAAAGAGUUUAUGGAUCUACAAAUUACUGCUGGGAUAUAUGGAAUUCUUAUUUUUCAAAAAGCCUAUGCACUCUGAGAAAUUCUAGACAGCAUAUGAAACUAUAAGAGAAUUCCACCUUCUUGCUUACCAGUACAGACUCUUCUUAACAGUGUCAAAACUAACCCUUCUCCCCCAAAAAAGUAGGGUAUAAACAAAGAGAAAGAAAGGGAAAUCACAAACUUUUAGAACUUCCCCAAGCUAAGAGUUGAACAUGGAUAAACUCACUGAAGUCCUCAUAUUGCUCCAUGGGCCACUCUAGGUACAUAAGCUAGGAUGUCAUAGGUCAGAGAGAAGCCCAGCAGAGACCACAUCAAAGUUCAACCUUGUUCCAGACCUUUGUAGGUAGAAAAUAAGGUUAAGUGAAACAUGGAAGGUAACCAUGGAAUAUUACCGGUUCCCGGUCAGUCACUCUUGAUUAGCAAACAUGGCCCAAAGCUGUAGAUCAAGGACUUCCUGAAUAAUACUGGUUCUGGAGACAGAAGCUAUGAGUUCAGUGCUACAUAACUCUCUCUCUGGACAGACAGCUCUGCCAAAGCUAUUACAUUAUAUUUAAGUAUAUGUAUUAAGUAUAUAUCUAAAUAUAUAUUAUACUUAAAAUAUUAGUUUAAAUUUAAUGUUUUAAGUACAAUAUAUAUACCAAAGAGCACAAAGAAAAAAAAAGGUACAGCUUGAUGAAUUUUUACAAAGUGAACACACCCCUGUGACCAUGACUGAGAUAAAGAGAUUAGACAUUACCAGUAUCCCAGAAGCCUCCAUUUGCCCCUUCCUAGGCACUACUGACUUGAUUUAUCUUACUGAUUUGUGGACUACAUGUAAUCACACGGUAUGUGUUCUUUCAUAUUGUUUCCUUUUAGUCAGCAUAGUGUUUGUGAAAUUCAUUCGUGGUGAUGUGUAGAGUAGCAAUUCACACAUUUUCAUUGCUAUAUAAUAUUCCAUUGUAUGAAUAUAGCAAAAUGUAUUGAUUCUUACUGUUGAGGGAAUUUUUAGAUGAUUCUAGUUUGAGAGAUAUAUGUAAUAAUGCUGACAAGAACAUUAUAUAUUUUUGGUGUCCAUCUGUGUACACAAAGAAACAUGUACUAAUUCCACUAGGAAUUAAUUUUCCAAAGUGGUAGCCAAUUUACACUGCCACCACUGGUGUAUAAAAUCUCCAGUUGUUCCACAUCCUCACCAGCAUUUGGUAACGUCUGUUUCAAUUUUUGCCAUUCUGAUGGGUAUAUAUUGGUAUCUUGUUUGGGUUUUAAUUUACAUUUCUGAUAACCAGUGAUUUUGAGCACAAUUUCAUGUUUAUUGGCCACUUGGAUAUCUUCUUUUGUGAAAUGCCUACACAAGUCUUGCCCAGUUUUUUUACUGGACUGUCUUUUUCACGUUGAUUUAUAUAUUCUAGAUACAACUUCUUUUUCAGAUAGGAGAGAAGAAAGAAAAGCAGAGAGAAAGAAAGGAAAUAUGUUUUUCUACACUUUGGCUUGCCUUUUCAAGUCUGUUCAUAUAAUCUUUGAUGAACUGAAGUCUUAUUUUAAUGAAGUCCAGUCUACACAUUUUUUUCCUACCCCAAGGUCAUGAAGAUAUCCUACGUUAUAUUUUAUCAUCUCAACUUCCAAUUUAAGACAUAUCUUGAAAUAUAUGUUUGAACUUAUAGUGUAACAUUUUAACAAAAUUCUUACCAAUUUUUAAGUUUUCAUAAGUAAAUUAACCCUAAAAUUAAUUUACUAAAUUAAUUUACUAAAAUUAAAAAGCUAUCAUCAAAAGUUUUCAAAGAAAAAUUUUCAAAAUAAAUGUUCUUAAAAGCACAGAAAGAGGGAAUGUGAGGGGUUUAUAAUAGCAGUAACAAGUGGUGUUAAAAGCAUAGACUUGGGGCUAGACAGGUUGAAAUCAUGGCUAGCCAUCUAACAAGCUUUGUAACUUUAUAAAUUGUUUAUUUUAUCUGAGAGUUGAUUUCUUCAUUUAUAAAAUGAAGAUGGUAUCUGCUGAAUAUAAAGUCUUAACACUAAGCCCAACAUACUCAAAACCUGUUGUUAAUGAUGACUAAGAUGAUGUUAUUAACAUAAGUUAAGUGAUCUUAUAAAACUUAGAUUUUCAGUACUGCGGGUAAAGUAAGUGCCCAAUCAUGCUGUGAUACAGAUGACGAGAAGCCCUCAGACCAGUACAAGGUGCUUGAUAGAAGGAGAGAUCACGUGUGACCAGGGAGACUAGGAAAGGGGUGAUAAAUGAGAUGGCUCCUAGGGGAUUUUACAGAGUCAACAGGCAGUUUUCAAGGUAUAUGGACAAAUUGAACAAAGGCUUAAUGAUGGGAAAGCAUAGGGUAGCUUAAGAAAAAAUAAGCUAUUAAUAUAUAUAUAGGAGAACAGACAAAAAUAAAGUUGGUGAGGUAGGUUAAGGCUGAAUGUCAAACUGAAGAAUCAGUACUUAUUCAGGUAAGGAAGAUUUUCAAUCCAAGGAGUGACAAGAAAAUCAAGCUGACCACUGUGAGUCAAAUGGAUUUGGAUAGGGAAGGAGUAAAUACCAAAAUUCUAUCACAGUAGUUCAGAUAGAAAGAUAUAGAAACCUAAACUAGGGAAGCAGUGAAAGUAGAGAACAUGUUCCUACCUACAGGAUGGACUCGCUUUUUGUAUGAUCUAAAGGAGAAAACAUGGCUAAUCAUUAAGAGUCCAAGACUGGGUAGUUGAGAAAAUAGUGAUGCCAUUAAUUUAAAUGCAGAGAUAGGGGAGAGAAUCUGGUCUUGAUAUUGAGCUUGGUUCUGGACAUUUUUUUUUAAUUCAAGCACCACCAGGAAUUUCGGGUGGAAAUGUCCAGUUGACGAGCAGUGGGAAAUACAGGUGGGGAUCCCUAGUGGGGACACAGUACUUAAGUAUGGAUUUGAUAGUCAUUUCCACAGAAGUAUUAGAAAAAUAUAAUGUGGAGACAGAGAUUCUGAGUUUGCUCCUGCCUUACACUAGCUGUAUGCUCUAACAAGACUCUCAACUUCUCUGAGCCUCUGCCCUCUCAUUUAUAACAUGGGAUCAAAAAUAUAUAUAUCAUUCUACCUCCUCAUAGGGUUGAUGCAGACUAAAAUGAGAUAAUAUCUGAGAAAGUGCUAUAAAAACAGCUGUUAUCAAAAAACCAUUUAAGUGCUUUAUAUAUGUCAAACUAUCCUAGGAAACUAUUCGAAUAAUUUUUUUUCUCAGUAAAAAUUAUACUAUUGCAGAUUAUGUUGGGGGCCGAGGAUCUUAAGGUACAGUAGUAUGCAAUCAUAGGUCCUGACCAGAAGGUGGCAGGAGAAAGACUUAGUCAGAGCUUCUUGAGGAUUCCGUAUUUAUAAUCCUGAACGAAAAGUUCAUUUUACUUAUACAUUACAUAUAAUUAGACUCCCAGAUAAAUUCUUCCUAUCCUUAGCUGCAUGUGGCUCUACACAUUUAUUUAUCCACUGACCAUGUCAACUCAUCUGUAAUAUAGAAAAUGGAAAAAAAGAAAGGGAGUAAAUAAUACAAUGACUACUACUAUAUAGUGAAUACCUCUGCGUGCUAGAAACCAAAUUCAGGAUUUCUACACAAUAUUCCAUUUAACAUCAAUACAAUUCCAUGAGGUAGGUAUUAUUAUUCCUCAUUUUAAAGAUGAGGAAAUUGAGAUUCAAGCUUUUGCAAGUGAAAAUAAGCAGUGCCAGAGUUGCAGCUGCCAUGAAAGCUCAGUGACAUUUGCUUAUUUACAAAAAUUAGGUAUAACCUAAAGCAAGAAUGCAAAAAAAAAUGAACUCUGAGCACAGGGACCUUGAGACAGCUCUCCUGAAAGCCUACACAUUGUUGGUAGAGUGAAGUUUUAGGGAAGCAAAACUGUGAAGUAUGAAACCAGAUCCAACCUGAGAACAGAUGCUUCUGAGUAAGCAAAGAGAAUUUCUAAAUAGCUAAAAGACAGAAACAUUCCUAAAGUAGACAGUUUGGAAUGGCUCAAAAGAAAAUGUGCAGCUUGCGUGACCACCCCAAAAGAUUGUCCCACCUAGGCAGCUGAAGAACAACAACUUAGCCUUGGCAACAAAGCAAGAUCCCGUCCUUACAAAACAAACAAACAAACAAACAAAAAAACUAAUUGGCCAGGUGUGUUGGUGCAUGCCUACAGUCCCAGCUACUUGGGAGGCUGAGGCAAGAGGAUCACUUGAACCUAGGGAGUUCGAGGCUACAGUGCCCUAUGAUGGCACCACUGCAUUGAAGUAUGGGUGACAAGAGCAACACCCUGUCCAAAAAAAGAAAAAACGAAGAACAACAACUUACAACUUACCUUUCUACUUUUGAGGAGACUGGGAGUCACAGAGUCCCUGCCACAAGGUGGAGGGGUAACAGAUUUGAUUGGAAGCAGUGAGUUAUAAAUGGUGCUGUGUCCUCUAGCCCUCUAACCAACACAUGACUGUACAGCUGGCCUCUCUGAUACUAAAUUUUCCCCAUGUGCUAAAGAUCGUACAAGAAGAGGGUUGCAAAAUGAAGAGAAUAGAUUAAUUAUUAUAGUUAAUUAUAUUUCUUGGAAAAUCAACCACUGGUGAGACACCAAAACCCAGAGAAACUGA